rnacentral:rRNA from 1 species
UACGUAGGGGGCAAGCGUUGUCCGGAUUUAUUGGGCGUAAAGAGCGUGUAGGCGGUUUGGUAGGUCCGCUGUGAAAACUCGAGGCUCAACCUCGAGACGCCGGUGGAAACCAUCAGACUAGAGUCCGGAAGAGGAGAGUGGAAUUCCUGGUGUAGCAGUGAAAUGCGCAGAUAUCAGGAAGAACACCCGUGGCUAAGGCGGCUCUCUAGUACGGUACUGACGCUGAGACGCGAAAGCGUGGGGAGCAAACAGG